rnacentral:rRNA from 1 species
CGGGACACGUGGUAUCCUGUCUGAAUAUGGGGGGACCAUCCUCCAAGGCUAAAUACUCCUGACUGACCGAUAGUGAACCAGUACCGUGAGGGAAAGGCGAAAAGAACCCCGGCGAGGGGAGUGAAAAAGAACCUGAAACCGUGUACGUACAAGCAGUGGGAGCACGCUUAGGCGUGUGACUGCGUACCUUUUGUAUAAUGGGUCAGCGACUUAUAUUCUGUAGCAAGGUUAACCGAAUAGGGGAGCCGAAGGGAAACCGAGUCUUAACUGGGCGUUAAGUUGCAGGGUAUAGACCCGAAACCCGGUGAUCUAGCCAUGGGCAGGUUGAAGGUUGGGUAACACUAACUGGAGGACCGAACCGACUAAUGUUGAAAAAUUAGCGGAUGACUUGUGGCUGGGGGUGAAAGGCCAAUCAAACCGGGAGAUAGCUGGUUCUCCCCGAAAGCUAUUUAGGUAGCGCCUCGUGAAUUCAUCUCCGGGGGUAGAGCACUGUUUCGGCAAGGGGGUCAUCCCGACUUACCAACCCGAUGCAAACUGCGAAUACCGGAGAAUGUUAUCACGGGAGACACACGGCGGGUGCUAACGUCCGUCGUGAAGAGGGAAACAACCCAGACCGCCAGCUAAGGUCCCAAAGUCAUGGUUAAGUGGGAAACGAUGUGGGAAGGCCCAGACAGCCAGGAUGUUGGCUUAGAAGCAGCCAUCAUUUAAAGAAAGCGUAAUAGCUCACUGGUCGAGUCGGCCUGCGCGGAAGAUGUAACGGGGCUA